ACGAACGCUGGCGGCAGGCCUAACACAUGCAAGUCGAACGCUCUAGCAAUAGAGAGUGGCAGACGGGUGAGUAACGCGUGGGAACCUUCCCAAUGGUACGGAAUAGCUCAGGGAAACUUGAGGUAAUACCGUAUAAGCCCCUAGGGGGAAAGAUUUAUCGCCAUUGGAUGGGCCCGCGUCGGAUUAGCUAGUUGGUAGGGUAAUGGCC
rnacentral:rRNA from 1 species